UCGCUUCAUCUUUAAGCUUUAAAGCAUCCAAUGCAGUAGCAUUUUCUGACGACUCGUUUCUCUCGUUGAAAUCUGAGGAACCAAUGGAGAGUUGGAGAUUAUAAGUUGAGUGAUCUUCGUUUGGUUUAGACGAUACCGAGACAUCAAACGGGCUAGAUGAAGAUGUGGUAGUAGUCAAGAGCUGGAGCUCUAAAUUCGAGACAUCAAACGGGCUAGAUGAAGAUGUAGUAGUAGUCAAGAGCUGAAGCUCUAAAUUGUGUUGCUUUGUGGAAUUCUUGAUUAUGUUUGGAUUAACAUGAUGCGUAGCUGUGUACGACGACAGAUUUUUGAGCAAAGUAGUAGGCCAUGGUAUUGUGCUGAGAUUUGUGUCACUUGAGGGGCUAGGACUUGAAGCUGUGCGAGAAAGACAAUUAGAUGGAUGUAAAGAUUGUGAUUCUGAUCGGAGUCUUACCAUGCUACAAGCAUCUUGGUGUUCAAUGAAGCUCUCCACCCUAAUAUAAAAGAGAGGAAUAUAAGUAAUCAUUUUUGGUCAUGCAAAUUAUUACUACUACUUGUUUGAAUAAAAGUAAAGUGGUAAUGAUUUUGGGUGUAAUGGAAUAAAAAGUAAAAACAAAAGAAGGACUACUUCAUCAAAUGCUGAAAAUGCUCAGCUUAUCAUUGAUUAUAUGGGAACAAAAGUAAGAAAAAUGAAAAGCAGACCUAAGCUUAGUAAAAUUACAGGAACCAUAUGUAUCUGAAGAUGGUGUUCAUAAAUAAACAUUUAACGUACGAUAAGACGAACCAGUAAAAAAGUGUGAAAGAAGAAGGAAAAAAACAGCUGAAUUAAUAAUUUAACUUUCUCAUUCUUCUUAAUUAGACAAGAGGGGCUUGGUCUGAUGGUAACCAACCCUCACUUACAACCGAGAGGUUGUGAGUUCGAGUCUCCCCAGGAGCAAAUUUGGAAACAGCCUCUCUACCCCAGGGUAGGGGUAAGGCUGCGUACACACUACCCUCCCCAGACACCACUGAGUGGUAUUGUACUGGGUCGUACUUUUUUUAUUCUUCUUAAUUAAUUAGCAAGCAGAAUGUUUUUUUGGGAAGUGAAUUUCAUUCCUCUCGGAAACAUAGAAUAAUGAAAAAGAGUAUGAAUGCCAAAACACGUUGAUUAGCUGAAGAAAAAGGAUUGAGAUGCUUAAUUUUUUUAUAUAUAAAAAAUUAAUUAAAGCAUCAAUAAAGACCUAGGAAACACGAGGUUUUGAGACUGUAGUUAAUAACGGUCCGUAAAACAGAAGUAUAUAAAAUAAAGUAAUAUUAAGCAGCUAUCAGCCGAAGGAAACCGCUUUCUAAUUUUGCGGACACUGUUUAUUUUCCUUCUUUUCCAAAAGCCUAAACAGCCGUUACAAAAUCAAAAAAGAAAUCCGAAAACCCUCAAAAAAGAAUUGUUUUGUUUUGACCAAGACAUGACAUUCGUACUACUCAUCCGUAGAACUGAAUAUAGCAGUCCAAGAAGAUAGAGCCACCAUCUCGAGAAUACCGUUUGAAAAGAAUAAACCGAGUAGUAGUACUAAGGAAGUAAUGUAGUAGUAAUAGUAGUAGAAGAAGAAGAAGAAGAAAUUAAUUAACCUUGAGAAAACGCGACCACAAUCACAAGAAUGACUACGAGUACCACAAGUUUUAAGAUGAGCUUUGUAAUCAGACUGAACAG
rnacentral:lncRNA from 1 species